rnacentral:tRNA from 1 species
UCCCUGGUGGCUCAGAUGGUAAAGUAUCUGCCUGCAAUGUAGGAGACCCAGGUUUGAUCCCUGGGUUGAGAA